rnacentral:lncRNA from 1 species
CGGAGGGUGGUCCAGCACAGUGGUGGCCUCGGGGCCCAGGCUGGAGGGGGCCUGGCACAGUUGAGGCCUCGUGUGGGCCCAGAAGGAAGGGGGCCCAGGCACAGGUAGAGCCUCGGGGCCCAGGAUGGAGGAGAACCAGGCUCAGUUGGGGCUGUGUUGGGGCCCAGGAUGGAGGAGGACCAGGCACAGUUGGGGCUGCUUUGGGGCCCGGGCUGGUGGGAGGCCCGGCACAGCCAGAGCCUUGUGGCUGCACUCCCUCUGUACAGUUCAACCUUGAUCCCUAACCUAAAAUGGUAACUGUAGUGAAAGGCAGUAGCUGAUCCAGCUGCUUUCCUGUGUUUUAAUUUUCCUAAGAAUGGGGAAGGACUCAAGCUAGUAAACAAAGACCCCUUUCUGAAGAACAGGACUCAGAAAGUAUUAGCACAGAG